UGGCAACGGGUGAGUAACACGUGGGCAACCUGCCCAAANAGGGGGAUAACACUUGGAAACAGGUGCUAAUACCGCAUAACCAUAGUUACCGCAUGGUAACUAUGUAAAAGGUGGCUAUGCUACCGCUUUUGGAUGGGCCCGCGGCGCAUUAGCUAGUUGGUGGGGUAAAGGCUUACCAAGGCAAUGAUGCGUAGCCGAACUGAGAGGUUGAUCGGCCACAUUGGGACUGAGACACGGCCCAAACUCCUACGGAAGGCAGCAG
rnacentral:rRNA from 1 species